GGACUGGGCCCACCUGUCCACCUGUCCGUCACAGGUGGGCCUAAGCUCAUUAAAAAAAAAGUGGGCCUAAGUCUAUCAAGAAAAAAGAAAAAAGAGAAAGAAAAAAGAAAAGGGAAAGAAAGGAGAGGGGGAGAAAAGAAAAGAAAGAAGCACUGGUAGUUGAUGGUGUAAACAAGUAUGGUUGUUACAGUCCAUCAGAAUCACCUUGUACCAACACUACAUUAAGUUGUAAAGCUGGUGAAGUAAUAGCUGUUGAAGACCUGCGUCAUAAAAUUACACUAGGGAAUACUAAACGUCAAUGUAAAGAUGAAAGUCAAUGUGAUAGUAACGAUUGUUGUAGAGCACGCCGGGGCGAUAUCCAAAGGACAGCUGAUAUUGCAGAUCGACAAGAAGUUUACAAGAAAUGUUCUCAUAUGCAGUCUUGUACAGUCGUUUCACCUUUUAAUAAAGAAACAGACCAUGGUUACGUAAAAUAUGUAUAUUUCUGUUUAACGGAUUUGAACACUAUCAACAUUUAUGAAAAUGUUGCAAAGAGUGUAAACGAAGACAUUUUCAUACAUCUUGCUGGUAAAUCUGGUUCACAGUCACCACGAUGUUGUAAAUUCAUCAGUUCCAAACCAAUUUCCAUUGAAAGUCUAUACAUUAACUUGAGUAAAGAGACUUGUAAGAUGAUCGCAUCUUCUUCAAGGGGUCUAUCUUUGUUCAACUGUACAGAAGAUAGGUUUAUUAUGUUGAGUGAGGUGUUAACGACCGAGGGGGAUAAACAGAUAGAUAUGAAUAAUAUGUUUCUUAAAUAUGAGGAUAUUAUUUGGAUACAUCUGAAGAGAAAUGAUAGCUCAAAGUUUAUAAAUGUAUCGUGUAGCACUUGUAAUUCCAGAUCUGCCUCGGCGUCUUUGACAGGUGUAUGGAUCACUGUUAUGGUUACUUGCAUAUUAUUAAUGCCAAUAAUAUUAUGACGAAUAAUUCGCGGUGUUUGUUUCGUCAGGAGCCGAAGAAUGCCAAGGGGGUCGUCUGUACACCACAAAGACUCCCCGUGUCCUCUAACUAGUGAUUAUGACGAAAUAAAACCGCAAAAUAAUGCACAGUCUAUAUAUGCAGACUCCCCGUGUCCGCUAACUAUUGAUAACGACGAAAUAAAACCGCAAAAUAACGCACAGCAUAUAUAUGCAGAACCAUACGUUGUCAGGUUAAAUCGUGGAUCUGGUGCAAGUGUACGCUAUCAUAAAUUGUGGAACGAUUUCCAUCAAAAUAAAGACAUCAACACACGGCCCAAAACAGAACAGACCAUCGGCUAUGCCCAGGUGAAUAAAACUGUACGGACCAGGGGUGAUAACUCUAAAGUUUUCAUACCGGGCCAAACCUAUGAUCAUCUUGGUCAACGAAAGGAAUCGUUCGAAAAAAAUGGUGCAUCUAAUUAUGACCACAUCUCUCCAGAUUAUUCACAAAAAUAAUAAAACUUGAUUAAAUAAUAGCGUUUUUCUGUUUCAUCGCUGUUUUUGCUUCUGUUCACAGGCUGAUUUUUAUUUGAUAAAAGUUAUAUUCAGUUAUUUUAAAAACCAUAUUCGUUCAUUUUAAGCAUUUACUCAAAGUUUUCUCGUUUCUCUGUUUUGUAUUUUCAUGUAUUUUGCUUCAUGAGUCUGCAGUUAAUGAUCUGUUUUGUCCAACCUAAUAUUUCCGUUUUAUUAUGCGCGGCCUUUCAUAAUCGCAAAACCGGUUCCAUGAUGGUUGCGAUGAUAUCAUGCUCGGUUCCUGGGUCCUGUUUCACGAAAUUUUAACAAAAGAUAAAAUCCAAAUUUUAGUAGAUACUUCAAUUUUGAUUGGCUAAGCACUAAAAUCAAUCUAAUAUUAUCCAAUCAAAUUACUAAAAUUUGGAUUUUAUCUUAGUUAAAAUUUCGUGAAACAGGCCCCGGGUCCAUAAAGAACGAUCAUACUUGCUUUAUUUGGCCACACAUUAUUAUUAUUAUUAUACAACUCAUGCAUUUAUUUACAUCCGCCAAGUAUUCUUGGUGCAAAACGGUAGGACAUUAAACUCUAUUCUCAUUCCUUUCAUUUCCCACUGUUGUUUUAUAUACUUGUUUAUAUAAGUGGGGAGGGGGUGGGACGCAAAUACUCCUUUCUCCAGGUUAUUGCACGCAAGUGACUAUUCGGUUAGAUACAAUGACGUAACGGGAUGAGGCCUGAUUUACCUCUAGAACGUAGAUUUUCAGAAGGAAAAAACCUGCUAUGCUCUAUACUCCUCCCUGGGUUAAGAGCUCCCCUAGUUGUGAGGGUCGCGAUUAGUUAACUAAACAGUCGAUCGUUUUUUCAAGUCCAUCUCAUUUCCGUUGUAUCUGUAACAGGUAAUUAAAAACGACGGUAUAGAGUUUUUUUCACACACUUAUUCCUAGUAUCCAUUAUCCAUCAAAUAAUUCACUGCUAUCAGACCCCUGGGAGCUUCUAGGGCCUAGGCGGCCCAUGGACACCCACCUAUUAUACUUAUGUAUUAUUUUUAUACCUUUUUAUGCCUUAGAGUGUGAGUACACAAUUAAUAAUAGGGUGUAACUAAUUUUUUGGAUGUCUUUAUCAAAACGUGAGUGUUUCCGGUAUUACUAAUCAAAAUAAAUAAUCAAAGUAACUCGUAGUCUAUAAUUCAGACAAAUAUUUUACGAAUAUUAGUCUGGAUGUGUUGUCAACAUUUGAGAAUAAUAGCUCAUUGGCUAGAUUAUCUGGUCUUUUACAUUAUCCUGAACAAAGUAUAAGGGAAUUUUUUAAGUAACUUGACCUAAAACAAGAUAUCAACGCCCAUGAAAUUAAUUUAAGAAUUGCCAUUUCAUAAAAUCCAUUUGCGUUGCCAGUUCAAUAUCCACCAUUCUUAACUUUUUUUUAUUGUAAAAAUUUCUCUGUUCAUGACCAUAUAUAUGUUUUUAAAUUAAUUGUCGUCACGAUUCAUGUUUGUUUAUAAUAAUGCAUGAAUUAUAGGAUUUGUGCUCUAUUAACUUCGGGCUCGGGCCUAUUUUACUUCCAAUUUAGUAUGACUUUCCAUAAAGCUAUGAAAAAAACUGUUUGUAAUGAUUUUAAUAUAUCCUUGAUUCAGUUUUCCUUAAACUGAUUAAUACAUGAAUAGUUACCAUGCCAUUGUGUUGAAUUCAUAACUCUUAAACCAGUAAUGUAUUUUCGAAUAUGUGUACGUAACUUCCUACUUGAAUAUAAUACACCGACGAACUAUUAACACACAUAGCAUUGACCGUUUCCUUACAUAUUAUAAUUUGAAUUUAAAUUUGUUUUAUUUCGAUUAGUACUUCGAUUAAUUUACUUAAUUUACAAUAUUGAAACGGGUUGUAGUCUAAUUAGUUUGGUAAACAUUUUAACUUUAAGCGCCAAAUAAAAUAAAUGACAAAUAAAACGAAACUUCAUCGAGUCUGGAUUAUACAUAAAUGAACGUUCAUACUUAACUCUGCAUAGAUUUGUCAACCACCAUUGACUGUGUUUUCAGGGUAAGGAAUUUAGAAAAGAAUUAAAAUUUCACUUCAUUGCUGAG